CUUUUUCUUUUGUCUUUUCAUUUUCUUCCUUUCAAUUUUCUCUCCUUCUCUUCGCUACAAACCCCCCACCCUCCUUCUAGAACGCACCACGUCCACACCCUCUCUCUAGGUUAGCCUGGUUGGCUCUUGGGAUGGUCCCUCUGUAAGCAAAUUUUCAUAUCCAACACCCACCCUCUCUCUCUCUCUCUCUCUCUCUCCUUUGCUCUGUUACAAAGAUUUCCGCUCUAACUCACCAAUCGCGGCAGAAUGUUCCAAUCUUCGGUAGGAGGUAGUGGACGAUGCACAUCAGCACCCUACCAUAGUGGGAGGAAUGGCUUGAAGAGGUAUGUCUGGCCAUCUCUUUUAUUCUCGAUUUCAUCUUCUUUCCUACUUAGGGCUUUGAUUUCGUCAUGGUUUCUGAUCUCUGAAUUGAUUUUUCGUUGGUCUUCAUCAACAGAAGAGAAAAGGUAUAUGAUUUGCCAGAGUAUUGUACAUUAUGGAGUUGGCCCAAAAAAAAAAAAAAAUGAUCAUUGGUUUACCAUGAUUAUAAACUAAUUAAAUGGAUUGAUUUCUUGAAGUAUUGUUUUUAUUAAACCAUAUGUUUUGGUGACAUUGAGGAUUAUUGUUAAUUGGAUUGUAACAAAGUAUUUAUAAUUAUUAAAGUUAUGGCAUAUCAUGCUAUAUUUGGAUUAA